AGAGUUUGAUCAUGGCUCAGGAUGAACGCUAGCUACAGGCUUAACACAUGCAAGUCGAGGGGCAGCGGGAUUGAAGCUUGCUUCAAUUGCCGGCGACCGGCGCACGGGUGAGUAACGCGUAUCCAACCUUCCGUACACUCAGGGAUAGCCUUUCGAAAGAAGAUUAAUACCUGAUGGUAUGAUGAAAUUGCAUGAUAGCAUCAUUAAAGAUUUAUCGGUGUACGAUGGGGAUGCGUUCCAUUAGGUAGUAGGCGGGGUAACGGCCCACCUAGCCUACGAUGGAUAGGGGUUCUGAGAGGAACGGUCCCCANAUUGGAACUGAGACACGGUCCAACUCGUACGGGAGCA
rnacentral:rRNA from 1 species